AUCUAAUGACCUAGAACAAUUUCAUAAAUGAAAAGUUAAUAAACUUCAAUAUAUCUAUUUCUAAUCUCUAAGGUGCACUCUCUUCACUCAUAAUCGAGGAACCUUGGAAACCUGUCAUGAAGAAAGAAUACGGCUGAGCAAAAUGUCACAAAUAUGCAAAAAGAUGUACACAAAUCGAAAAAUUUUUAAUAGAACAACGGAAAAAAAUUGAACUUCAAAGGACAAUUACUUCAAAAUCAUAGUUUUCUAAUUAUAACUUGUAUACGACAUUAUAAAAAUCCCAAAAAUUUUAACGCGAAUAACUUGGAACGUCCCUGCUUCUAUGUUCUGAGCAAAAAUGAGUUCGGGUUAAACACGAAAGGUGACUCGGAAUGAUAAACUGCUGCUAAUGGCCACGUGGCGGCAAAUGAUGAAACGUAUAUCACGCACAACUUUUGAAACUCACUCUACACAAAACUCAGAGAGAUCUUCAUGUUCUACGACUCAACUGUGGAUUUUGCAAACUAUGUGGACGGAGAAGAAGAGAGUGGUGGAGAUCAAAAUCUCGAUGAUCAUGAUAUGAUAUGUCCGAUGCCCAAGCAAGAACCGGGAAAGUACAGAAAUCAUGAAAACAUUCCCUUAUCGAGGUUAUGUUGUGCUGAUAUGUAUCUGUAAUAUAUGGUAAAUAUAUUAUUUCACAAAACUGUUAUAU